GACGUAGGGGGCGAGCGUUGUUCGGAUUUACUGGGCGUAAAGGGCGCGUAGGCGGCCCUCCUAGUCGCGUGUGAAAGCCCCGGGCUCAACCCGGGAGGGUCGCGGCGAACUGGGAGGCUUGAGGCCGGUAGAGGUGGGUGGAACUCCUGGUGGAGUGGUGAAAUGCGUAGAGAUCAGGAAGAACACCCGUGGCGAAGGCGGCCCACUGGGCCGGUGCUGACGCUGAGGCGCGAAGGCGUGGGGAGCGAACGGG
rnacentral:rRNA from 1 species